GACGUAGGGGGCCAGCGUUGUUCGGAAUUACUGGGUGUAAAGGGUUCGUAGGCGGUGUGGCAAGUCGGGAGUGAAAUCUCUGGGCUCAACCCAGAGACUGCUUCCGAAACUGCUGUGCUUGAGUGUGAGAGAGGCUCGUGGAAUUGCAGGUGUAGCGGUGAAAUGCGUAGAUAUCGGGAGGAACACCUGUGGCGAAAGCGGCGCACUGGACCACUUCUGACGCUGAGGCGCGAAAGCUAGGGGAGCAAACAGG
rnacentral:rRNA from 1 species